rnacentral:rRNA from 1 species
UGGGGGAUAUUGCACAAUGGGCGAAAGCCUGAUGCAGCGACGCCGCGUGGGGGAUGAAGGCCUUCGGGUUGUAAACUUCUUUUGCUCUGAACAAGGCAUGCCUUUGGGGUGUGUUGAGUGUAGGGGUUGAUUAGCGCCGGCUAACUACGUGCCAGCAGCCGCGGUAAUACGUAGGGCGCGAGCGUUGUCCGGAAUUAUUGGGCGUAAAGGGCUUGUAGGUGGCUGGUUGCGUCUGUCGUGAAAGCUCAUGGCUUAACUGUGGGUUUGCGGUGGGUACGGGCUGGCUUGAGUGCAGUAGGGGAGGCUGGAAUUCCUGGUGUAGCGGUGGAAUGCGCAGAUAUCAGGAGGAAUACCGGUGGCGAAGGCGGGUCUCUGGGCUGUUACUGACGCUGAGGAGCGAAAGCGUGGGAGCGAACAGG